rnacentral:rRNA from 1 species
UACGGGGGGGGCAAGCGUUGUUCGGAAUUACUGGGCGUAAAGGGCUCGUAGGCGGCCAACUAAGUCAGACGUGAAAUCCCUCGGCUUAACCGGGGAACUGCGUCUGAUACUGGAUGGCUUGAGAUUGGGAGAGGGAUGCGGAAUUCCAGGUGUAGCGGUGAAAUGCGUAGAUAUCUGGGGGAACACCGGUGGCGAAGGCGGCAUCCUGGACCAACACUGACGCUGAGGAGCGAAAGCCAGGGGAGCAAACGGG